AGCGAACGCUGGCGGCGUGGAUUAGGCAUGCAAGUCGAACGGGAUUGAGCCGCAAGGUUCAGUUCAGUGGCGAAAGGGCGAGUAAUACAUCGAUCAUCUACCCCAGGGCCCGGAACAACACCUGGAAACGGGUGCUAAUGCCGGAUGGUCCAGUAAUGGUAAACGGCGGGGACCGCAAGGCCUGCCGCCCAGGGAGGAGUCGAUGGCCUAUCAGCUUGUUGGUGAGGUAACGGCNCACCAAGGCGAAGACGGGUAGCCGGACUGAGAGGUUGGUCGGCCGCACUGGGACUGGGACACUGCCCAGACUCCUACGGGAGGCUGCAGUCGAGGAUCUUCCGCAAUGGGGGCAACCCUGACGGAGCGACGCCGCGUGCAGGAUGAAGGCCUCGGUCGUAACGUAGC
rnacentral:rRNA from 1 species